rnacentral:rRNA from 1 species
AUGGUUAAACAGAGCCAUGUCGCAUUGGAGCUAUUGUUUGCUUCUAAAACAUCGCAUCACAGCCAUUCAUUCCAACAACGUCGCACUCCUUCCAAUUCGCAUGAAAAACGUCGCACAGGAGCUAUUGGCCCCCUCCUGCUUGUGCUGCUCUCGCGCUCGGCGUCGGCGUCGGCGUCGACGGUGGUCACCCACCUGCCAGGAUUCGAUGGCCCUCUACCCUUCAAUCUUGAAACCGGAUACAUGGGCGUGGAGGAGGAGACUGGGACGGAGCUCUUCUACUACUUCGUCGAGUCGGAGAGGAGCCCCGGCACGGACCCCGUCAUCCUAUGGUUCACCAGCGGGCCCGGCUGCUCGGGCUUCAGCGGCAUGGUCUUCGAAGUCGGUCCUAUGAAUUUUGUGUUAGCACCUUAUAAUGGUAGUUUGCCGCAGCUGGUAUAUAAUCCCUACUCAUGGUCGAAGAUUGCAAGCAUCAUCUUCUUGGAUUCUCCUGUCGGUUCUGGCUUCUCGUAUGCUCGUGAUCCCAAAGUUUAUGAUGUCGGGGACAUGUCGUCUUCUUUGCAAGCUGUCACAUUUCUGAAGAAGUGGUUCAGCGAUCACCCACGCUAUGUUUCAAAUCCUUUUUACCUUGGAGGAAGUUCAUAUGCUGGAAAGAUGAUUCCAGUCAUCGCACAAUACAUCUCAGAAGGAAAUGGACAAAGAAGGCAACCUGAGAUUAAUCUCAAAGACUAUCUACUUGGUAACCCUAUUACGGGCUCCAGGUUUGAUGAUUUCAACUCCAAAAUACCAUAUGCCCAUGGUGUUGGAAUUAUAUCUGAUCAACUAUAUGAGGCUGCAAUGGCAAACUGUGAAGGAGACUAUGUAAACCCAGUGACUAAAAUGUGCGUGGGGGUUGUAAAUACCAUUCAAAAUCUCAUAUCUGAAGUUGAGGAAGGAUAUAUCUUGGAUGAUAGAUGUGUACGUGCUGCUCCAAAACCUGUGAAGGAUGAUUCUUUAAGUAGCACGUUUCUAUCAGAAGAACAGAUUCAGCCAACCGAAUCAUCUGCUCAUCCUACUAUCAAUUGUUUUCAGUCAUAUCGGUACUACCUAUCUAACAUUUGGGCGAAUUACAACAGGACUAGAGAUGCUCUUAAGAUCAAGAAGGGAACCAUUGGCAAGUGGGUAAGAUGCAACAGUGAAUUCCCCUAUACACGCGACGUCCCAAGUAGCAUAGGGUACCAGUUCAACCUCACCACCAGGGGCUACCGUGCGCUUGUAUUCAGCGGAGACCAUGAUCUUUUGGUACCAUUUUUGGGAAUACAGGCAUGGAUAAGAUCCUUCAACUUCUCCAUUGUUGAUAACCGGAGAGCAUGGCAUGUGGAUGGCCAGUCUGCAGGAUUUACAAUUGCAUAUGCAAACCAUAUGACAUUUGCAACAGUAAAGGGUGGUGGUCGUACAGCUGUAAGCUACCGGCCUAAACAAGGAUUGGCCAUGGCUCAGCGGUGGCUUGGCAAUAAGCCGUUGUGA